rnacentral:rRNA from 1 species
AUGGCAGGGCGACGAGUGCUGGUACGCUGCGUGCUGAGCGCCAUGCCAACCUUCGCGCUCACCGUCCUCCGCCUGCCGAAGAAGAUACUACGGGAGAUCGACAAGUGCAGGCGGCGCUUCCUUUGGAGCCAAGAUGAGGAGAUCACUGGGGCCAGUUGCAAGGUGAAUUGGCCGACGGUGUGUGCCCCAACGGAGCAGGGGGGCCUCGACGUCCCCGACCUCCAGCGUUUUGGCCGAGCGCUCCGGCUGCGCUGGCUGUGGAUCGCAUGGCACCACCUGGAAAGGCCCUGGGUGGGGUCCGAGCUACCAUGCGACGACGCGGACAGGGCUCUCUUCUCGGCAUCGACUAAGGUGACGAUCGGAGAUGGGACGCGGGCAUCUUUCUGGCUGUCCCCGUGGCUGGGACAUGGAACUCUAUCGCAGCGCUUCCCCCGACUCUACAUCCACUCACGACGCAAGCAUAGAACUGUCCACGAAGCAAUGGAAGAUGACACCUGGAUCAGCGAUCUUGCCCACGGACAAAAUCAGCACCUCCUCGAUGAGGUCCUGAGCCUGCACCGAGAGUUGCAGCGUUCGGGACAGCCUGCUCGACCAGGUGAGCUGGACGCCCUCAGUAGGAAGCUUUCGAGCACGGGGACGUACUCGGCCAAAUCUGCAUACCAGGCGCAGUUCCAAGGCAGGAUGGCCACCAACUUUGAUCAACUCAUCUGGAAGGCCUGGGCGCCGGGGAAGAUCAAAAUCUUUGCGUGGUUGCUGCUGCGGGAUAGACUUUGGUGCAAUGACAGACUGCAGAGGCGAGGAUGGCCGAAUAGCUACUUCUGCCAACUCUGCGUCAGAAACCUCGAGUCCUCGAGCCACCUGUUCUGGAACUGCCCAGAGUCCAGGCAGGUCUAG